AUUGGAACCAAAUUUACGAACUCCGAUGCAAAAACAUAAGCACGUCAAGGGCCAGCAUGAUGCAAUAAAAUUUCUGUUUACAUUUUUUGUGCAGUUUGGGUUGUAUUUUGUAGGCAGUUUAUUCUGCUUAAUUCUGGUAAAUAUGUUAUAAUUGAACGUGUCGUCAGGCGAAAGCCGACAGAUUUGAAUUGUGAUUCGGCAGGAGUGAUAGUUUUUCCUUAUAUAGGCAUGGCCGAUAAGAAAAUCAUCCUGGUCUACAAGCGGCCUGAAUAGCAGAACAAACAGGUCGAACCUACAGUCGACGACAUUCUUCAUCUAGAUUCAGGUCCCGAUCGCAAUCUCGACGUCGCACAACGUAUGGCAAAGAUGGGUCAAAUGUUAGCGAUGAUGUGAAUGAUCUCAUGAUGGCUUGGUUGCUGCUGCUGCUACUCGAAAAGCCACGAAAAUGGCAAGUACAAACAGCGCGGAACAACAGGACAAAAAAGAUGACAUUACUGCACAGUUAUUCUUGGAAAGUGCUUUAAGACAUCCUGGAUCAGGCCAGAACUGAAGCUGAUGCCGAUAUUCUUGCGAACUUGUGUGCAGCUGGUGUCACGGCCGGUGGUAGUCUGGCUGUCUCUACCCCAAAAAGGGCCUAGUGAACGAAGUUGUGUCCUAGUGGAUUGAUCUGUGAUUGUAGCGAACAGAGUUGUCCGUAUCCUCUGUGCGGUAAAGAGAAAUUCCAAUUUCACCUCACACUCUUCGAACUGUAACGA